AUUGAACGCUGGCGGCAUGCCUUACACAUGCAAGUCGAACGGCAGCACGGGAGCUUGCUCCUGGUGGCGAGUGGCGAACGGGUGAGUAAUACAUCGGAACGUACCCAGGAGGUGGGGGAUAACGUAGCGAAAGUUACGCUAAUACCGCAUAUUCUGUGAGCAGGAAAGCGGGGGAUCGCAAGACCUCGCGCUCUUGGAGCGGCCGAUGUCGGAUUAGCUAGUUGGUGAGGUAAAAGCUCACCAAGGCGACGAUCCGUAGCAGGUCUGAGAGGAUGAUCUGCCACACUGGGACUGAGACACGGCCCAGACUCCUACGGGAGGCAGCAGUGGGGAAUUUUGGACAAUGGGGGCAACCCUGAUCCAGCCAUGCCGCGUGAGUGAAGAAGGCCUCGG
rnacentral:rRNA from 1 species